GAGGGAGCUCCUGGGGAGAGGAAAGCUCCUGCAAGAUGUGACAAUCUCCCCCACCAGUUGAAGAGCCAGGUACAGAUGUUUACUGAGUGGAUCUUCCAGCAGUUCAUCCAGAGACUUUGAGGUCACUGUCACAGACGCAGCUGGACCAUCAGCCACGACUACAGGAAGCUCCACACCUUCAUUAACUUUGACUGGAAGCACUGAGCAGCCUGAAAGAGCAGCAUCUGCAGGUGUGCUGCUGUAUGUAAUCAUCUCUCUGCUCAUCAUCAUCAUCCUCUCAUCACUGACUGUUCUAAUAAUCUGCAUCAAGAGGAAGAGCAGCAGAGGUUUGAGGACCAGAGGAAACUCAGAGGGCACAAACAUGGAGGUGACUUUCUUUCUCUUUGGUUCCUCUCACUGUUGACAGACUGCUACUGUAACAAAGAAAUAAAGCAGUCACAGUGUGAUGGUUCAGUUUGUAGACUGUUCCAGAAAUUACAGUCCAAGAAGGAGAAUUCAAACAGGUAGGUGACAAAAAUGGCCGCCCAGACGGAGACUCCAACAACAAACAGAGACACUGUUGUCUGAGAGGUUCAACGUGGAAAUAUUUACCAGCACAAAUGAUUUAACCAAGUCAGAGUCUCUUCUUUUUAUGUGAAGAAGACAGUUUGUCUCUGUUUCAGGACGUCCACUACGAGAACUGUACUCCAGGUUCUACACGUGAAGACUCGACCUACCAGAGCCUCGAUCCAGCCGGCAGGGACCAGGACCAGACCUACUCUACACUCACACACCACACAUGAGACUCUCUGGAUUCACACCUGGGUUUGUUUCAGUGCCUCAGGUUUAAGGUUUGAACACAAACCCUGAAAACUGUAAAUAUUGACUCACUUCGGAGUCAGCUUCAAGUGGCUGUUAGAGGAACUGCAGCUGCUGGAACUGCAGGAGGAACCAGCCCCACCAGCCCCCAUCAUCCUACACCAGUGCCCCGUGGACACUGUGAAGUCUUUCUGCUGCAGUGUGUCAUCCAUUUGUCUGAGAAGCUGUCUGCAGUCUUCUUUCUCUCCAACACCUCGACACCUCCAGGACCCUGAGACUGACACGAAAAAUAUCUUCUGACCCCUCCCACCCUGGACAGAAACAGUCGCUCCCCUCAGUAUCAUGAAACUGCCAAUAUUAUGUACAUGUUAUUAACAACAACCAAAAACAUUACCUCCCCUGAUCAGUCUGUUUUUUGUACACUAAGAAAAAUAAUUAAAUGUUAUAGAUUUCAUAUUUUACUCAACCCUAAACAGAGACAACUUUGGAUUCUUCUAUUUUAUUUGAGCGUUUUAAGUGAAUCCAUUGCAUUAAAUGUUCAUUUGGAAUCACUUGAUGGAUCUGCGUCAGACGUAACUGAAGUUAAUCAGCUGGUUAGCCACACAGAGCUAACAGCAAAGCAUAUAAAACCUUAGCAUACGCAGCACGCAGCAGCUACAAGGAUGGUGUUCUUAUUCUAUUAUUAUUACAGUGGUUGAAACAUAAUAAGUCUGCCUUCACUUUGUAAUCCACAUCAGUCCUGCUGCAAAUCCCACAUUUCCACAGCGUUCCUGUGACAUUUGGUGUUCUUUAGGUCAGCACAAUGCUGGUGUUUGAACUGAAUCAGAUUAUUUGUAUGGAACAGACUUUGGUGUCACACCAGUUUGUACUACAGGAUGGAGUAGGGAGCUGAUGUGGGGUCCAGUCUGUGAAAGAACAGCUGUUCCAGUUACCCUAACUUACAACAACAACACAAUCAGUGGAUGUGAUGAGCACGUCACCUACUCAACUGCAAACGCAGGAAUUUCUGUGGAUCAUUUUUGUUAACUGCUUAUUCAGCUGAGGGUCACAGGGGUGGAGUCUGUCCCAGCUGUCACAGGGAGAGAGGCGGGUCCACCUGCACAGGUCAGAAAGGACAGAAACCACACUCUCUCAGAUACACACCUAUAUGUUUUGGGCACAACCUGACAACCGUCUCAUUGGACCGUGGGAGAGCACAUGAA